rnacentral:rRNA from 1 species
UACAGAGGGUGCAAGCGUUGCUCGGAAUCAUUGGGCGUAAAGGGCAGGUAGGUGGUCUCAUUUGUCUGGGGUGAAAGCCUUGGGCUUAACCCAAGAAGUGCCCCGGAAACGGUGAGACUAGAGUACUGGAGAGGGUCGUGGAAUUCCCGGUGUAGCGGUGAAAUGCGUAGAUAUCUGGAGGAACACCGGUGGCGAAGGCGGCGUCCUGGACCAACACUGACACUGAUGAGCGAAAGCCAGGGGAGCAAACGGG